rnacentral:rRNA from 1 species
CAAUAGCGUAUAUUAAAGUUGUUGCAGUUAAAAGCUCGUAGUUGGAUUUCUGGGAGGGUGCCAAUGUCCGUCGUCGUACGUGUUGCAGCGGCGCCCUUCCAUCCUUCUGUUAACGACUUUGGGCAUUCAUUUGCCGGAGUCGGCUCAGAUAUUUUACCUUGAGAAAAUUAUGAGUGUUCAGGCAGGCUAGGCCGGAAUACAUUAGCAUGGAAUAAUGGAAUAGGACUACGGUCUCUUUGUUGGUUUGAGGGACUGCAGUAAUGAUUAAUAGGGAUAGUUGGGGCAGUUAGUAUUUAAUUGUUCAGAGGUGGAAUUCUCGGAUUU